rnacentral:rRNA from 1 species
UACGUAGGGUGCAAGCGUUAAUCGGAAUUACUGGGCGUAAAGCGUGCGCAGGCGGUGAUGUAAGACAGGUGUGAAAUCCCCGGGCUUAACCUGGGAACUGCAUUUGUGACUGCAUCGCUGGAGUGCGGCAGAGGGGGAUGGAAUUCCGCGUGUAGCAGUGAAAUGCGUAGAUAUGCGGAGGAACACCGAUGGCGAAGGCAAUCCCCUGGGCCUGCACUGACGCUCAGGCGCGACAGCGUGGGGAGCAAACAGG